GCGGCGGCGGCGGCGGCGCGUCGAAGUCGGCGCCGUCCAUGCUCACGAACCGCAUCGCCGGCAUCCCCAGCUUCUCGUGCAGGUAUGUGAACCAUGUUGGAAAAUAAAUAAAUUAAAUGCAGUGUUUCGAAAUGAGACAUGUCAGUAUCUAUAUCCUGGAAAUAGCAUCAGAAAGCCACAGGGGUGCUGAAUUUGACAUGCUGCCUGCAAACAUGAGUAUGGAAUAACAUGUUCUUUUCUAACUUUGUUCAGUAAUAUAAUAUGCUUUGUUUUGUGUUACCAUUGAGGAUCAACAUUCUUGGAACUAGCACAUGUGAUUUUAUCUGUAUAUACAACAACCGUCAGUUACAUGAAAGAUUCAUGCAAUGAAAUCUUCUUGUUGUACCUCUAGACCUGAAGUAGAUAAAUCACUACAAACACUAUCACCAAUCCUC